UACAGAGGGUGCAAGCGUUGCUCGGAAUUAUUGGGCGUAAAGGGCUCGUAGGCGGUUUGUCGCGUCGGGAGUGAAAAUCCAGGGCUUAACUCUGGACUGGCUUCCGAUACGGGCAGACUAGAGGUAUGCAGGGGAGAACGGAAUUCCUGGUGUAGCGGUGAAAUGCGCAGAUAUCAGGAGGAACACCGGUGGCGAAGGCGGUUCUCUGGGCAUUACCUGACGCUGAGGAGCGAAAGUGUGGGGAGCGAACAGG
rnacentral:rRNA from 1 species